rnacentral:lncRNA from 1 species
AGGGCGUCCCGGGCGGUUUUAUUUCGUACCCAAAAAAAAAAAAAAAAAAAAAAAAAGGAUGACCCCAAAACAACGGGAAUAAAGGACACGCACAAACACAGCUACAAACAAAGUAAAUUUCACGCGGCUGGGAAAAAUAGUUUCUGAUAGUUUGGAUUUCUUACUUCUCACUUCGACCGUCAGAAGCCUACAUCAAAGAUAACCAGGAUCGACAGCUGCUGUUUUCUCGGAGGCUACCUGUAUUAAGCCGAAAAGGAGUGUUUUUGUCUUUAAAUCAGUGGUACGGCUGUGGUCGACGCGCGUAUUGCUUUUUGAUGAAGCAGCUUUUUUUUGAUGUAGCACUUUCUGGCAGGGCUCACACCGAUGUGUGAGAUGCAGCAUACCUUUCAAGUGCUCUGGAGCGUGAAUAACUCCCCACAGCAGGAGCCACCCUCGCUUAUCUAAUCUCUCCCACAUGUUACCGGAGGAAAGCGACACGAAGUAUGUGUCCACUUCGGUACUAACGGCAGCUGCCGCAUUUUGUCCCUGGGAAGUUGGCCAACACAGAUACAGCAUAGUAUGGUGUGAAAGUAUAAGUACACGCAGAAGAACAAUUAUAGAAAAUACUAUUUAUUAAUUUAUUGUCUUUAGUUUCCUUCCAUCCACAGGCUCAGAAGCAUAUAACUGCCCUUUUACAGUAUAUUUGCAAGGUCCCCACGUGGUAUCUUUGCUAUCGGUUAUACAGGGAAGAGGAGAAAUAGCACAUUGUUCUUUUUUCUCUCUCUCUACAAAUUUUAUUUAGAACUUGUUGGGAAUCUUUUUUUUUAAGUCCAGACUAGGUGAUCUACCGUUUCCCCUGCUACAGAGAAACUACAACACGUAUGUCACAACUGGCUGGCCAUUUUUUGACUAAGCAGUGUUUCUUUUGAAAAUGCCAACUUGUCAAAAUUAAAAUGUGUUGCAGCAGCAGGAAAGGCUCCGGAUGCAGAGGGGUAUCAUUCCCUUGGCAGACUUCUGCAGGGCUAGCAACCUGCCACGUUAUGAGACUGCUGUCCAGGAGAGGGGAACCUGGAAGCCCUGGAAGAUUCUCCAUGCUGUUUCAUCCUAAGAAGAAGGCUUCUCUGAGAGCUGAGCAACCCAGGAAGAAGCUGUGCCCAGAGUCGACAGGUCCCAGGCUCUGCAGGAAUCCCCAGAGCACAUCUGCCUUCAUGCACCUUGGGAGCCGUCAGGAGCAGAGUUAUGAGAAGUGCCUAUACUGCAAAAUUUAACAGUGUGAAAACAUUCUCAUCAGUUUGAAAAGCAGCAUAAACAUAUAUAUGCUCUACCUUAUGAUUCAAAAACUUUGUGCAUCAAUUACGUAGGCAAAAACAUGAUGUCCUGCUGAUGUCUAGUAUAUGGUGUAUAAACUAUAUGACACUUCUGUAGGUACUGUCUGUACCUGUGCACAAUUGCCAAACUCAGGCAGCACAUAAGACCCAGCAAACCUGCCAAAGAUGCACACUGAAGUCAGCGACCUGGAUGCCAACAAAAGUAAAAUAGUAUCUGCCCUCCUAUUGCAUUCUUCCCCUGCAAGGACUCCGCAUAACCAGGAAGAGCCAGUGCUUCAUGUGCUUGCAAGAUGGUUUGGUGUGAUGCAUUUUUUCACUUUGCCGCAUUUGGCUAUGUUCACGAGCACAACAGGGGUGGCUCAGAUCAAAGAAGUAGGUAAGGAGGCCUCUACCUCUACAGCACGUGCAAUUUGGGAGCUUUACCUUGGACUUUUGCAGUGAUUCAUAUUUGUUCGGUCAUUGGUCUGGAUCCUUAUGCCAUCAGGAGCCCACUCAUGUGCGUCUGGAGAAACAGCUUUCCAGGGUUCGGUUCUUGAAAAGCGAUCUCACACGCACCCAAACUGCUCUGUAAACUGAGCAUGGACGCUAAGAGGGGAAGUGAUGGCUUCAAAACCGCCCUGCGGCUCCAAAGGAGAACAGCAACGCAGCAAACGGCCCAAAACCCGGUUGCUUAGUGCCGUCUUAUGGUCCGCCUCCCAAACAUCUGCCCGCUUGCCCCGCAUACGGGGCCCUUAGCCCUGCCCCAGGGGGGGGGGGGAGGGCGAGGCCGGCGGGGC